UUGUCUCAAAGAUUAAGCCAUGCAUGUCUCAGUACAAGCCAAAUUAAGGUGAAACCGCGAAAGGCUCAUUAAAUCAGUUAUGGUUCCUUAGAUCGUACCCACAUUUACUUGGAUAACUGUGGUAAUUCUAGAGCUAAUACAUGCAAACAGAGCCUCAACCGGAAACGGAAGAGGCGCUUUUAUUAGAUCAAAACCUAUCGGUGUCGGGAUUCCCGUCAUCGUACAACUUGGUGAAUCUGAAUAACUUUAAGCUGAUCGCACGGUCUCGCACCGGCGACGCAUCUUUCAAAUGUCUGCCUUAUCAACUGUCGAUGGUAGGUUCUGCGCCUACCAUGGUUGUAACGGGUAACGGGGAAUCAGGGUUCGAUUCCGGAGAGGGAGCCUGAGAAACGGCUACCACAUCCAAGGAAGGCAGCAGGCGCGCAAAUUACCCACUCCCGGCACGGGGAGGUAGUGACGAAAAAUAACGAUACGGGACUCAUCCGAGGCCCCGUAAUCGGAAUGAGUACACUCUAAACCCUUUAACGAGGAUCAAUUGGAGGGCAAGUCUGGUGCCAGCAGCCGCGGUAAUUCCAGCUCCAAUAGCGUAUAUUAAAGUUGUUGCGGUUAAAAAGCUCGUAGUCGAAUCUGUGUCCCGCGCCGCCGGUUCAUCGUUCGCGGUGUCAACUGGCGUGACGCGGGACGUCCUGCCGGUGGGCUUAGCCCGCGAGGGCGGCCCAACUCAAUCCCGCCGCGGUGCUCUUCAUUGAGUGUCGAGGUGGGCCGGCACGUUUACUUUGAACAAAUUAGAGUGCUUAAAGCAGGCUAAAACUUUGCCUGAAUACGUGUGCAUGGGAAUAAUGGAAUAGGACCUCGGUUCCAUUUUGUUGGUUUUCGGAGCCCCGAGGUAAUGAUUAUUAGGAACGGAUGGGGGCAUUCGUAUUGGCGACGUUAGAGGUGAAAUUCUUGGAUCGUCC
rnacentral:rRNA from 1 species